CUGGUAAGGAUCUUGAAGGCGAGAAAGAGGGUUAUAGCAAUGCAGAAUGGCAAGAGAGGGUGGAGAAAUGGAAAGUUAGGCAAGAAAAGAGAGGUUUGGUGAGCAAAGAUGAUGGAGGAAAUGAUCAAGGAGAAGAAGAUGAGUACCUGUGAGUGUUUUUUGCAUCCUCAUCUUCUUCUUUGCAUUAAGAUGGUUCUGCUAUCGAUACUAACAACAUACUUUUACAGCAUGGCUGAAGCCAGGCAACCACUAUGGAGAAAAAUCCCAAUUCCCUCAAGCAGAAUCAACCCGUAUCGAAUUGUCAUUGUCCUUCGACUUAUCAUUCUUUGCUUCUUUUUCCGUUUUCGGAUCUUAACUCCAGCAUACGAUGCUUAUGCAUUGUGGCUUAUCUCUGUAAUAUGUGAGGUAUGGUUUGGCCUCUCCUGGAUCCUUGACCAGUUCCCAAAAUGGAACCCCAUUGAACGUGAAACUUAUCUUGAUCGCCUAUCCAUGAGGUUUGAGCGUGAGGGUGAGCCUAAUCGUCUGGGCCCAGUUGAUGUGUUUGUGAGUACUGUGGAUCCUCUCAAGGAACCACCAAUCAUAACUGCAAAUACAGUCCUUUCAAUCCUAUCC
rnacentral:lncRNA from 1 species